rnacentral:rRNA from 4 species
CCCGCUGAACUUAAGCAUAU